CACACACACACAGUCCCCUACUUUUUUUUUAUUCUGAGAUAAUUUGAGUUAACUGAGUAAAUGUUCCUUGCAACCAAUAUAGCCUCAAGACAAAAGAGUUCAUAAUAUAAUGUUGAGUGGGAAAGAAAGAACAUAGCAUUUUAACUAUGUUGUAUUUAUAGCUGCAAGGAAUAAUGGCGUUAAAUCAAGUACUAAAAGAGAACAAAGAAAAUGAAAGCAAUUAAUGUGUUAGGAUGGUAGAAUUAUGGGUGGUUCUCCUUUUCUUAGUUUUGCAGCUGCUUCUUGUAGUGGAAGCCCUAAGAUAUAUACAAACCCUCAGACUUGUAGUUUAACCUGACCCUCUCGGAUGUAUGGUGUCAAAGCCCCAAAUCAGCUUCCUCUUUCCAGAGUUGCCUCACACAAGGAGGCCUUCCAGAACUAUCCUCGUGUUUCUAAGAUAAAAAUUGGUCAGAAUAAAAUACGUUGUGUUUAAUUUUUUUAUUUACUAAAGCAAUUAUUAUUUGCUACCACCAAGAACCCCUGUUCAAUUCUAGAAGACCUUUAGGGAGAUAUCAAGUAAUUUAGACAGUUUUUAUUUCCAUAAGGUGGAAAAGCUUCAUUUUUUUUAUUUUGUUUUUGUAGCAAACUUUCCCCCAAAGGAACCAUCUUGCCUUGAUAAUUAUGAGUAACUGGAGGUUUUCAGUAUUUGUUGAAUAUGGUCAGUUUUUAUGCUAAAAGUCAAUAUUUUGUUUAGUUAUGCUGUAAAAUAGACUCAAGGGUUAUCUAAUAUCUUCCCACAGAAGAGAUCAUAUGAGCUCAUUAGAAAUGGCAGAAGCCCUCGGGCAAGGGGGACCAUGGGGAACUGGAAAUGUGGGAUGGGGCUCACCAGUCUUAACUCCUUAGUCCAGCAUAUUCUCUAAGGAUUCUCAUAUAGUAUUAUGGUUGUGUACAAUAAUAAGAAAAUUAUUGUUUCUGAGGGAAUACCUAUACUUUUGUAGAAAGAAACAAUCCCAACAUAUGUAUAAAAUAACUGUCAGGCAUAUGCCUGUAAUACCAGCCCUGAGAAGGCUGAGGCAGGUGGAUUAAGGCUAGCUUAGGCUACAUAGUGAGACCUUGUCUCAGGAAACCUUAUUCUCUGCCUUUUCCCACUGAAGCAGGGUCUUUCCCUGUGUUGAAGUUCACGUUCUUUAGACAGGCUGGCAGCCGGCAAGCCCCGGCAACCCUCUUGGCACAGUCAUCAGAGUACUGGGGUUGCUGCAUGGGUGUCAGGAUCUGAACUCAGGUCCUCAUGGCUGCACAGCAAAGACUUUUAACCACUGAGCAACCAUCCUCCUUUAAGCCCCAUUAAACCAACUCGUCAGCAUCUUCAGUGCACUCAGAAACCCAGAGACAACAAUGGUUCAUUCCGCUCUGCACUGUCAGUAAAGACAAAAGAGGUCUGAAGAUCAGAGCUCCCAGAUGCUAGAGUUCAAUGAUGCCCUGUGGUCAACAAUGCAAACUUUAUCCACAAAUCUCUUCAGUAGAAAGAAGGGGGACCCACGAGGUGGUGACCCAAGAAUACACCAUCAACCUUCAUCAGGAUACUCAUACAGAGGGCAUUGAGAAGCAUGCCACUGAGAACGGUCUAAGAGACUGGGAAAUUUGUCAUAAAUACCUUGGGCCUGCAGAUGUAUGCAUAGAUACCAGGCUCAAUGGAGCUAGCUGGGCUAAAGGAAUAAAAACGUCCCAUAUGAUAUUCAUGUGUGCUUGUCCAGAGAACAUAAGAAUGAAGAUUUAAACAAGCACCUUGCACUGGUUACACAGCGACCUGUGACUGUUUAAAAGAAGUAACCCAUUUGUCUAAGUUAGCACUCCUUGUCAACUCGGCACAGCCUAGAGUCAUCAGAGAGGAAACUCUCAAUUAAGGAACUGUAUAGAUCAGAUUGGCCUAAGGGAAUGCGUGGGAAGGGGCGAGAGUGUCUAGAUUAUUAAUGGAUACAGGAGGACUCAGCCCUCCAAGUGCAGCAUAGUUCUCUGGGCAGGCAAUUUUAGGCUGUAUAGGGAAACUAGAGAUGCAUGAUGCUUUGAGCAACCCAGCCAGUAGCAUUGCUCCAUUGUCUGCUUCAGGGUCCUGUUUGAGCUCCUACCCUAGCUUCCUCCAUGAUGGAACUGUGUGCCAAAUGAAACCUUUCCUCCCCUAAGUCACUUUGUGUAAUAGCAUCUGCUUCAUAGAGUUUGCCAAAGCAAAGAUUGAAGCUAGAAUACCACUAAUUAUCAAAUAGCUAUCAAAUUACAUGUGUGUGUGUAUAUAGGUGGGGCAUGUGUGUGUGUGUGUGUGUGUGUGUGUGUGUGUAUGCCUUUGCACAUACAUACACAGGGAGCAGGGGAAAAGGAGUGAAGGAGAGAGAGAGACAGACAGACAGACGGAGAGGGAUCUUUCUACUUUGACUUAUACUUUUGUUGUACUGUCUUAUGUCCUUUGGAUUGGGACAGGCAGUUCUGGAUAAGAUUCUAAGGCCAGCAUAACUACAACCUGACUCUUGUCAUUUUAAAGUUCCAAUGUGUCACUUGGGUUUGUUUUGUUUUGUUUUGUUUGAAACAGGUCUCUCUAGCUUACUUACUAUGUAACCCAAGCCGACUUCAAGCUUACAGCAGUCCUCUUUUCCUAUCUCCCAAGUGCUGGAGCUACAGGUGUGUGCCUCCACCCCAGCUUGUGAGUCUAUUUUUGGACUACAUGUAAUAAUAUAUAUAAUAACAGUUACAGUGUUAAAAGAGUGGUCUCCUCCAAAACUGAACCCUAAUGGAAGACCAAAGCACCCCACCCACCAAAAGAAAACACAGAAGGAACUUAAAGACAAAAUGGAUUGCAUGCUAGCCUUUAGCAGAAUUCCCAGCAUUGCGAACUAGUCAAUAGAGAAAAAUUCCAAACAUCUUACGCAGGCAGCCACCAGCUCCACCUGCUUGUCCUCCAAGCCUUCUGUUUCCCACCCAUCCCAGGUCAAAAUGACUGCUAGUGUUCUGAGUCAGCUCCAUCUCCAGGAGACGACAAGUGGGCUCAGGAGCUCCCUGGCCAGCUUGGGCAGAACUGGGAGAAGCAGGUGGUUGUCCUUUGCCAGGGCAUUAUAGCUGUGACUAAGUGGGUGUUUCUUCCUUGCCUGAAGCCUGGUCUGAAACAAAGGCCAGUGUACCAACCACAGAGUCAGAGGACUUCCUGCAUCCUCUCUCCAAAUUGAGGGAGUGGCUGGUCACGCUCAGGACCAACCCAUUGGAAGAUGCUCUGGGAACCUACAAUCUGAGGCUGAUGUAAUGCAUUUUUCUUAAGGGCGUUUUGUCAACAGAUGAUAAUAGGUGUUGGAAGCAGCCCAGAUGAGUCACUUUUGCAAAUUCCUAAUAAUUGCUUCGGAAGGCUGGAAGCUGAGGUUGUCCGAAUUCUGUUAAGUCUCGGCUUGGAUGACGCACACCUCAGGAAGCUUCUCCCCAAAAGCAGGUGACCUGGGAACUUUCAGCACUUCCUCCUUUUGAUUUCUUUCAUAAGACUUCUUCUGCUGCCUGAACAGCUCCUGCUAGCACUUUGAAAGCUCGUGAGCAAGAAGUUUCUAGUUCAAUCAGCUUGCUUUCUGUCUACCUUAAAACUGAGGCGUGUGGUGUCUUCAGCAUCAGGAUCUUACCCUCUGGUUCUAUGCUGCACUGGGUCAGGCAACCACAUCAAAUGUCCAGACAAGAACAAAAAUGGGGGCUGGAGAGGUGGCUCAGUGGUGAAGAGCACUGCCUGUUCUUCCAGAGGUCCUGAGUUCAAUUCCCAGGAGCCACAUGGAGGCUCACAUCCCAUCCAUCUGUAGUAAGGUCUGAUGCCUGCAGGUAUCCAUGCAGAUAGAGCACCCAUAUACAUUAGAUAAAUAAAAAAUAAAUCUUGAAAA